UACGAAGGGGGCUAGCGUUGUUCGGAAUCACUGGGCGUAAAGCGCACGUAGGCGGAUUUUUAAGUCAGGGGUGAAAUCCCGAGGCUCAACCUCGGAACUGCCUUUGAUACUGGAGAUCUUGAGUCCGGAAGAGGUAAGUGGAACUGCGAGUGUAGAGGUGAAAUUCGUAGAUAUUCGCAAGAACACCAGUGGCGAAGGCGGCGCACUGGCCCGAUACUGACGCUGAGGCACGAAAGCGUGGGGAGCAAACAGG
rnacentral:rRNA from 1 species